AUUUUAUGAAAAAUAUGUGCGUCGAUUUUAUUGGUAUUAUAUUAAAUAAAAAUAUUUUUAAUUUAAACAAUAAAGUUUUCAAAGAGUAAAAAGCUGUAGUAAAAUGAUGCGUAACAUUUAAAAUAGAUAUGUAUAUACAUAUAUGGAUGACCUUAACAAAAGUGUAUAAAACUUUUUAUUCAUUUGUAAAUAUUAUUUUAAACAAAGAAAUAUUUUAAUUUUGUAUAAUUACUACAUUAAAAUAUAAUGUUGUAUAGACAUAUAUAUUUUAUCAUUGCGUGUAUUAGAGCGGUAGUAGGGACAACACCUGCGUGUUUAUCUGCUGUAGCAUCCCCUAUCCUACCAUUGCACGACGUCAAAUACGACAGUUGUUCGUAGUGCCGAACCAAAGAAGGAUCGUUACAAUUAUUCUUGUUAUGAUUGUUCGAAAUAAAAUGAGUUUAUAUUACAUAGUAAUAUGUAACAUAUUCUUUCAAGUAUUAUUUAACGAAUUUAGUGACUAUUCGUCUUAGUUGUUCAAUCAAUAAAUAGUUUUACGAAGUAGCAAGAUAAAUAUCCACUAUUUACAAAUGUAAUGUCUAUUUAUUAGAUAUUAUAUGGUUAUAGAGCGUUUAUCACUUUUGCAAAGUAUUAUAUUCUUUGUAAACGAUGUUUACAAAAAUAUUAGUUUUAUUAACAUUUUUCGUAGCAUGCGCCAAGUAUCGAACGUCGAUACAAUCGAUAACUUUGAACUUUCAAUUAGUUUCAAGUUAAAUUGUACAUUGUUAUCAAUCAUGACAUCGUUUUACGACAAUUAUGAUUAUUAUAAAAAAAUGCUGGAACUACAGGAAAAAUUACGAAAAAGUGAAGAGGAGAGAAUAAGAUUAGAAGAGAGAUUUAAGAUACUCGUACAAGAAUCUCGUAACAGGCAUGAUGCGUGUAUAAAUCGAUUGCGUUUAAGAUACAUAGAGUUUUUAGAAGAACAACGUACAAGAGAUGAAAGAAAUCAUAAACUUCUUGAAGCAUUGGAUAGAGUAGAUAAUAGCCUUGCAUUGAUGACUGCAAAAACAGAUAGACUUAAUGUUCUUAGAAAACAAUAUGAAGCUUAUCUUCGUCGUAUUUAUACAGUCCCUAGCCCGUCGACGAAUAUUAUUGAUGACGGCAAUAUAACGAAUCAAGGUGAAGAUAUGUAUUUAAGGAGAGAUGUCACCGUGGAACAAAUCUCCCCCGAAGUAGAAAAUACUUUAUCGCCUCGGUUGCUGCGGUUGAACGGUCAAAAGAACCGAUCGAUUUCUCCAACUGCAUCGAAAUUAGCUAAAUCAGCCCAAAAUAUGUGUUACGACUAUUAUCAACGAAAUAAUGCGCAACCAAUAACUUUAAAUCAGCAGAUAAACAACAAGAAUAUUUUACGAUCGUAUUCAUCGAUUCCACAAGAUAAUGAAUCGAUACAACAACCAACAACGCACAACAUAUCGCCACAAAAUUUUCAACAAAAGCGAUCGUAUGUCCAAAUUGAUCCAAACUUACACAUUCCAUAUGUGUCACCAGGUCGAUCGUGUUCGUUGAAUCAACAAACUACUUCGCAUUUUAACUGCAGCAAACCCUUGUUGGAACGAAUGGAAAUACCUCAAACUAUGUCGCAGUUUAUGGUUCCAGAACGUACCGAUUGUAGCAUGUCGCAGUAUAAGUUGUUGGAUGUGUCUCCAAAUCGAUUUGCUCCGAUGACUCUACAUUAUAUUCAUUCGUCAUCAGUUGCGCAACCUUUCCAACGAAAAAGUAAUAAAGCGUUGUUACAUGAUACGGAAACACAGACAAGAAGCGUCGAUAUAUCCCCGAGUGAAAUAUCUUCGGUUUAUAGGACUAUGCCAGUGUCUGAGGAACGAAACCUGUGCGGUAUGUCUUCGCUAAACAAAUCUCCAAUUUUAUCAAAACAAACUUCUCCGCGUUACUUUGAUUACUCUUGGAGGAAACCUGAUCAUUUCAAAUCAAGGCACAAAUCUGUUAGCGGUACUUCCGUGCGCCCGCUAACUACUUCCGACGUCGACAAUAUGAUAAGACGAUACAAAUAUUUUACCCCAGAAACUUCCACUAAUGCGAGGCUGUCGAUGGAUGCCAGACAAUCCGCGGAAGAAGACGAAAGUAGAACAGCAACGAUCGUAGAGAACGAGUUGGAUAGGUACAUCGAUAAAAUUCGGAAACUUCAUCGGGACCUUGAUGCGCAAAGUUUAGAGGAAAUCGAUCAGGAGCAGAGUAUGGGCGGUAAUAUGCUUAACGUUUCUUUGUCCGAUGAUAAUUUGUCGGAGAUUCUUCCUGGCGAAGAUCAAUUUAAAGAAAAUCUUCCUAAAAAAAUUGAGAAGGUUUUAGCAUUGGCGGAUGAUCUUGCGUCUAGAUCGGUGGAUUUGAACGUUGCCAACGAGCCUGGAAAAGAACGCAUGGAUAGAAAUAGAAAUGUCGAUCUAGUUCAAACCACGAAGAGCGGCGCACCGACUUCAGAAAGGAACUACGUUGCAUUUUCGGAUACACGCAACGGCUGUAAAACAUCGGUUACGCUUGCAAAAGACGAAAUUAGCAGGGAUAUUAUAUUACAGGAGACAAAAUUAGAUCCACAUCGAUAUAUUGAAAAUUCUAGGAAAGAGAAUCUCACCAAUCUAAGUAACACACUGGAACAUUAUGAACGACAAUUACCAAAAGUGGAAAUAAAUGACCACGUUGAUUUCGCCGUUUCAUCAAGUGAUAAGAUUACGAAACAAGACACUAAGGGCAUUAUGUCCGAAAAUAUAGAAGGAGAAGAGAAUAGCGAAGAGGACAUAAAUAUUUAUAUGGCAGCUGAAUCAAAUCUUAAUGAGUAUUCGUUUGGUACUUUAGAAGAAUUAGAACCAUUGGAUAUGGAUGUUUUACAGAAACGAAUAAGAGAAGUAGAUUUAACUAACGAAGCUAAAAAUCAAUUUGGUAAAACAAAAGUUGUUAUCGAUAGUCUAAAUCAAGAUGACGUAGAACAAAUUGAAUCUUCAAAUGAAAUAGAAACUAUGGAAAGUAAAGAGGAUAAGAAAGGUUCUAGCGAAGAUUCGCAUAGAAAAGAUGUAGAUUUGAAUACUACGGAGGAUGAACUAAAACAAAAAGGUACCGAAUGUCUUGUAUCAAAAGAAGAGCUUACGAGUAAACACGAAAUAGAAGUAAGUGAGGCUUCUGCUUCACAAGACCAGAAAGAAGAAUACAAAGAUAAUGGUUAUACGAACAAUGAGGCUGUUAUUCAAAAUAUAAAAUCAGCACGAGAUCAGACUGAUGAACAGAAUGAACCUAACUGUGAGCAAAAACAGGCACCUAAUGAAAUUAAUCCUACAUCUGUUACAGCUCAAGAUAAUGAACAAGACGUAAUGGUACAAGAUUAUAGCUAUACUAAUCAAAAUUACUACGAAGAUUCUAAUCAAGUACAGAAUUACACGCAAAAUUAUGAAGCAGGAUAUACUGGUUUGAACGAGGAAUAUAAUUAUGAUCAAAAUGCGUCGUAUGAAAAUAAUCAAAGUGAAAAUUACGAUCAAAAUAUGUCGUAUAACGCUGACCAAAAGCAAAAUUACAAUCCAAAUGUUUCGUACGAAACUAAUCAAGAUGAAAAUUACAAUCCAAAUGCAUUAUAUGACACCAAUGAAGAACAAAAUUACGACCUAAACUCAUCAUAUAAAACCGGUCAAGAUCAGAAUUACGAACAAAACGUGUAUGAGGAUAAUCAAAAUCAAAAUCAAGAAUAUCAAGAAUAUGUUAAUCAGGAAUAUAUACAAGGUUCGAACGAGCAAUACGGAGAAUAUGCAGGCGAACAAUACGGUUCUGAAAAUCAGUAUGAACACGAUACCAACGUGCAGUACCAAGAAGACGUGAAUCAACAAUAUGCGUACGAUUAUGAUCAACAGUACGAAACCAAGCAACAGAGUGACACCAAUAUAAAUCAAUCCUUUGCAUGUCCUGAUUACGACUCUAAUCAGGCGCAACUUAUACAGGAAGAAGAUAAGCAAAAUCAAGAACGUAAAGACUUACAAGAAGAGCCAAAAUAUGAAGAAGCAGAGGGAAAAGUUGAUACAGCCCACGGCAAAAAUGAAAUAUUAUCUUCUGAGAAUGGGACGAAGAAAAAGAAAGAUGUAAUCAAAUCUUUAUUGGAUUCUGAUACAGACAGCACUAUCGAAAGGAACGUUUCAAAUACGGAAAGUGAUUUUGAUUUUAAUUGAAACGCCACAAAUUGAGAGGAAAUCUGUAUAAAAUGUAUUUGACAUUCCAAGCAAGAUAUUUCCUUCUUAUUUCUUAACGCACAUCUAUGUGAUAUACGCUUAGAUUAUUAUUCGACAAUGUAAGUUUAGUGUAAUGUAACAAAAUCACGUAGGGAUCUCUUAACCAAAAAAAGAAAAAAAGAAGAAUAUUCCUGUUUGUUUUUUUGUCGUUAUUUCUGUUCGAUAUACAUUAUGCAUUAUCUUUAUAACAGCCAAAGAACAUGUAUUUUUAGAAUUUUUAUCUCAAAACUAUUAGCCGUAGUUUUAAAGUUUUAACAUGAAUAAUAUAUAUAAGUUUCGAUAUAUAUAUAUAUAUAUAUAUAUAGGUAUCUACAAAAUAAUUAAUCUUUCAAAUUAUAGUAUUCACCAUUUGAUAGAAAUAGAGUUUAGAAAUGUCAAUGUUCCUUUAUAAUUACUAGAAUUUGCGAAUUUUUAUGCAUUCAUAGGAAAUUUGUAAGUGCAAACUUGCACAAAACGCACAUAUGAUAAAAUACAUAUAGUAUCCAAGGUAUAGUGCUUUCUAUAAUACUUGGUAGGUAAAACGAUUUUCCACCGAGGAAUUUUAAUUCUAUUCUCAAAAAUAUGAAUUUGCAUAAGAAUCCACAAUCUAACAACUAGAUAUUUUUCCCAAACUUUAUGCAAUGUAAUCUUUUAAUAUAUUUAAAGAAUGCACCAGUGAUAGUGCGCCGCGAAAUAUGGAUUUUCGCAGAUCGACAGUCGCGAGUCUGCGCCAGUCGUGUGACGCUGUCGCGCCACUCGACCAAUCGUGCCCAUUGCCGUAUGUUUUCUUUCUCUCUACUACUUCUAAGGUUACAGGGAGGUCCUCGAAACGGUAGAUACGAUCCUACGCGACACAUCGUGGCUGAAACGUGCAGUGACAGUCGGUAGCUAACAGCACGUUCCAGCGUGCCGGAAGUUUUACCUGUGGUGUUUUUCUUUUUAUCAAAAAGUGUAUUCGAGAACUAUCAUUCGACAAAGCUUUUUCUUUUGCAUCUUUGAUAAAUCCUGUAACAAAGCAAUACAUGAGGAGAAGUUUAAGGCGAUAUUGCUCUAUGACUAGAAUUAGAUGAUAAUUAUGUAUGAGGAAGCUGGAGAUGUUUUGUAUGGAGCUGGGAUCGGCGAUUGGUAUCUGUAUUGCUUUCUACAUUUUGUCUUUCCCUGUUUCGUUAUCUUAAUUUUUUUAAAUUCUGCUUAUGUUUAUUACGUAAACCGAUCUGUGGUGUAAAAAAUGAGCAGCAAGAUAAACAACUAUGAAGAUUUAUAAAUGUGAUUUAGAUUUGCGUUCGUCAUAGCGAUAUUUAACGGAACUUUUAACAAGCUUGAUUUAUCACUUGGACGGUCGAUUACUUUGACC